rnacentral:rRNA from 1 species
AUUGAACGCUGGCGGCAUGCCUUACACAUGCAAGUCGAACGGUAACAGGUCUUUCGGGAUGCUGACGAGUGGCGAACGGGUGAGUAAUGUAUCGGAACGUGCCCAGUAGUGGGGGAUAACUACUCGAAAGAGUGGCUAAUACCGCAUGAGAUCUCUGGAUGAAAGCGGGGGACCGUAAGGCCUCGCGCUACUGGAGCGGCCGAUAUCAGAUUAGGUUGUUGGUGAGGUAAAGGCUCACCAAGCCGACGAUCUGUAGCUGGUCUGAGAGGACGACCAGCCACACUGGGACUGAGACACGGCCCAGACUCCUACGGGAGGCAGCAGUGGGGAAUUUUGGACAAUGGGCGCAAGCCUGAUCCAGCCAUGCCGCGUGCGGGACGAAGGCCUCGGUUGUAACCGCUUCAGCCGGAAGAAAUACGCCAACGGCUAAUAUCCUUGGUGGAGUGACGGUACCGGAACGAAGAAGAC